UCGAAGUGGCCUUUUAUUCAACCACAGCCUGCCACCAAAUCACUGGUGACCUGGAGCAGUCCCUAACUGUAACUCUAAGUUACAGUUUCCUUAUCUGGAAAGUGGGGAUAAUCACAGCCCUGACCUCACAGGUCGCUGGAAGGACUCUGAGACAAUCUGGGUACGGUGCUUACCGCAGGAAGCACCCAAUAAAUAUUAUUAUUAUUGUUGUGACGUUGAGCUGCUCAUGACACGCUUUAAGACGCUGGAGAAAUCAUCCAGUUUUUUGGAUGACGUCUCCCCUGAAACACCCACCCCUCCCACUGUGAUACAAAUUACAUCUUAUCUUUCCAAAACUUCUUCAGUACAUCAGCAAACAUUUAUUGAGCACCACUGUGUUCCGUGCCUGCUACCAGGUCCUGGAGAUACAGCAGUGAACAAAACAGAAAGACAUUUAAAAGCCCUCUGUUCUCGUGGAGCCUGUAUUCUAGCUGAGGAGAACAGACAUUUGAGGUCAUUUCAGUGAGCGAGCAGGGCUCCAAAGGAAAUAAAGCAGAAGGUCACGGAGGCUGAGAUGGCUGAUGGCGCAGGUGGCUGUGGGCUGAUGUGCCACUUUUGACCUCAAACGGAGGCAGCAGGGGGACGAAGUGGCCGCGAGGCACAGUAUCUGGCAUAUGUGUGAGAAACAGCCACAGUGCCGGGGGUGGGGCCAGGUUCUCACCCUGCACCGCCAGGGUCUGAACGUGUCUCCCAAAGGUCAUGUGGGCCUUUAAGAGGUGGUUGGGUCCUGAAGGUUCUGCCCUUAUGAAUGGAUUCGUGUCAUUAUUGCAGGAGUGGCUUCAUGACGGAGAGAGUGGAUUUGUCACAAAAGUGAGUUCGGCCAUUCCUUGCUGUCUCACAUGCCACCUCUUGCCAUGGGAUGCCCUCGCCAUGGGAUGACAGCAAGAAGGCCCUUGCUUGAGUGAGCCCCUCCAUCUUUGGCUCUCCGGCCUCCAGGACUGUUGGAAAUACAUCUCUGUUCUUUGUAAAUUACUCAGGCUGUGAUACUCUGUUAUCGCAACAGAAAACAGACUCAAGACACCACUACAUGGAUGAAGAAACAGGCCCAAGAGAUGAGGAGUGUUGUCCAGGUCUUCCAGUCAGAGGAGCGGCAGGAUGGGAUUUGAACCCUAGGACUGUGUGGCUUGUGACCACUCCUAGCUUCAGCCUUGCCUGGUGCUGGGUGGCUUGAGGCCAGGACGAUGGUCAGAUGUUUGGGCACACUGGGCCCUACCCACUUGGAAAGAGGCUGGCCUGGGGUUGAAUCAGAACCAGAAGUGACUCAGGCUAGGACCCCUCUGCACCCUCCCUCAGGCCGCAGGAAGCACCAGCUGGCCCAGAUGCUUCUCAUCUUUAGAGCUGAGCUGCAGGCUGGAGACCUGGAAGGCCCUCACAGCACCUGCUCUCACCCUCUCACCUCACGAAAGCACAGGAACUUGGGUUUGGAGCCGAUGAAAAGGGCUGGAAUCUGACUCUGCUCUGUGACCCUGGGCAAGUCACUGCCCCUCUCUGGGCUUCAGUUUCCUCCUUGGUAACACAGAAUGAUUAUACCUACCGCUUGGGUUUGUUGACCUGAAUCUACCUCUGAGUCAUUGCCUUUCCUUCUUGCUGCAGCCACACUGGCCCCUUGACAGUUCCUUGAACACACAAGCCCUUGCCCACCUCAGGGCCUUUGCACGUGCAGUGCCAGAUGCCUGGAAUGCCCUUCCUUCCCAUCUCCCCAUGGCUGGCUCAUUCUCGUCUUUCUUGGCUCAAAUGUUACCUCCCCAACCUAGAUAGCACCUCUGCCACCUCUUCACCCUGUCUUACUCUUCUUCAAGCACUUCUGGAGGUAUCUUGCUAUUUAUCUUGUUUGUAUCUUUUUCAGCUCCAUGAGGGCAGGACAUUUUGUCUGUUUCAUUCACAAUGUGUUCCCAGAGCUCAGCACAGUGUCAGGCACACACUAGGUGCUUAAGAAACAACUGCUUCCUCUACCUCUUCCCCUGCUAGCCCCAAGUUCAGCUAACUGGCUGUGUGACCCUGGGAAUUGCUUUUCACCUCUCUGGUCCCUUAUUCUCCCUUGUGGACAAACGAUGGCCUGGGCAUGAGUUUCUUUAAGGACUCAGGUAGCAAUGAAAUCCCUGGGACCCCAGCUUCAUUAUUUCCCCAGGCAAUGAGGUAGAGAGCAAGAAGGCAGGUAAGCAAGGACCAGCCUCCGCCACGCAGACACCCUCUUUCCGGCUUCUCUGUCCUCCCACUUUGCCCUGGGUUUGUGGACUUACUCUGGGCAGAUCUCCAUGACCAAUCACCCGCUCCCUUGGCAUGUCUGUCAGCACCCUUGGGGGAAAGAAUUUGGAAAGGGGAGGGAGAAAAAGAAAGCAGGGUGCGAGAGGAUGGUUCCCACACCUGUGUAAAUAAUUUGUCAUCUUAAAAUGCUCAAGUAUGCUCACCUUUAAUGCCUGGUUCUUGGGCUUGUUUUCCUUGGCAAAGCCCCCACAGGAGUGGAAUUUCGGCCGAAGGGAGCCCAAUUGUCAUCUUCUAAGCAUGUUCCCAGGCCGGGGGCCGGGGAGGGCUCUGGCUGAUGCUCCAUUUCCGUCCCCAGAAGUGCUGGAACGUUCCUGGGAUCUAGGGAGCAGCCUCCAGUCCUGGAAGCUGUCCCAGAUUUCUGGAAUGUUGGAAUUCAAACGGCCUCCUGCCCAUUUUCUGGAGGAGGAACAUGAGACCCAGAGAGGGGAAGGGGUUGGCCUGAGGUCAUACGAUGUGCAGAGGCGAGCUAGAGUUUGCCGGGAGAAGGUGCGGGUGUGUGGACAAGUCAGCAUCUAUCUCCCAUUUUCAGGUAACAGCACCUCGACUUCCUACUGAACAACCUUCUCUUCCCUCUUCUCAGUCCAUGAGGAGGGGGGUGCCCAGAGGCCUCUGUCUCCAGGGGUGGACAUGUGACCAGGUCUUGCUCUAGUGAUUGGUCCAGGGAUGAGCACAUGACUGAGCCUGCCCAAUGAAACUUGAUCCUGGGACUUUAGAGCUGGCCAUGAUUUGUGAAGGAGAUGCCAUUUUUCAUUGGAUGGACAGUGAGCAAGUGAACGCUUAGAGCAAAAAGAGGACAAAACAAGGGAAAAGCCUACCUGGGAGGAAGCAGCACAGAGCUGGACAGGCUUUGAACUCCUAGAUCCCACCGUACCUGAAAUUAGGCACCUUCAACUUUCCAGUUAUGUGAGCCACUGCCUUUCUCAUUUUUGGCUGAAAACAGUUGGGACUGGCUUUCUGUCCCUUCCAUACAGAAGGUGCUGACUGAUCCCUGCCCCACGGGAGAAGAGACUCCAGGCAGAGAAAAUAGUGUGUAUAGACACCCCAAAGGGAAUGCCAAGCAGGGCACUCGUGUGCCAAGGAGAAGGAGGAGGAGGUACCUGGGAGCUGAGCUUAAGAGUUAGUCAGGUGGUCAAGGUGGGAGAAGAGGGUAUCUUUAGCAGAGGAAACAACCAAUGCAAAAGCUUGGAGGGGUGACUAGUUAGUGAAGAUCAACUAUGUGCUGAGCUCGUGUUGGGUGGCAAGAUGAAAAGGGCACAGUGGAAUCCAGCUGCUCCUCACCUGCCCCAACACAGUGCAGGCUUGUCUGCUUUUGGAGCCAAACCUGGACACCUCCGUGUCCUUCCCCUGGCAGAGUGCUGCCCGCGCUGUCUCAGACUCUCCAGCAUCUCCUAGUUUGGUGAUGUGCAUCAUGGGGAUCACACAAAAUUAUUAUUAUUAUUAUUAUUAUUAUUAUU